rnacentral:misc_RNA from 1 species
GAUGAAGAACGUAGCGAAAUGCGAUAAGUAAUGUGAAUUGCAGAAUUCAGUGAAUCAUCGAAUCUUUGAACGCACCUUGCACCCUUUGGCAUUCUGAAGGGUAUGCUCGUUUGAGUGUCAUUGUACUCUCACACUCCCGAUCUUUGCAUUGGGAGCAGUGGACUUGGGUUUGCUGCUUCACCGUCGCUUACCUCAAAUAGGUUAGUGCAACUCUUGGUUGGACAUAGUACGGCGUGAUAAGUGUUCUUCGCCGGUGCCUCGCAAAGAGGGUGGCCGAUCGGGAUGUUGUGCUCCAAACCGUCUUCGGACAAUCUCUGACGACUUGACCUCAAAUCGAGUAAGACUACCCGCUGAACUUAAGCACAUCAAUAAGCGGAGGA